CAUUUUUAGAACAGCAACAAGAGUCAAAAAGAAGGGGGAGCAAGUAUGUCAGAAAAUGUCAUUUACGCUGAAUUGAAUUUGACUGACUCAAGCAGGCCCAGACUACAGAAGAUCACUGAUGUCCAAGGUUCUAUAUACGCAGAAGUGAAAGUGCAAUCCCUAGACAGAAAUGCUGCAGCUAGCUAUACGUCGUCUGGUAAAAGCUGUUGCUCCAGAACACGUGUCACUGUAUUGGUUGCUGUGAUAAUCCUCCUACUGGUCUUAGCAGUGUGUCUGAUACUCCUGUAUUAUCCAGCUGCAAGCAGCUCACCUCACUCAAAAAUAGUAACUCUUGGGCUGGCAUUAGCUACGGAGACUGGCAGGGAGCCCUGGAGGCCUGGUGAAAACAAUGAGCAGAACCACACAGGCUGCCCCCAACACUGGCAAAAAAAUGAGGGAAGAUGCUACUUCUUUUCCGAAAAGAUGGAAAAAAAAGACUGGAAUGCCUCCCGUAACAUAUGUACUAAGAUGAAGUCAGACCUAGUGAUCAUUGACAACGAGGAAGAACUGAAAUAUCUUCAGUCACAAUCAGAAGGUCAUUACUACUUACUUGGUCUCAUACGCUCUAAGAGAGAGAACACGUGGAAGUGGAGUAACAACGUGGAACAUAACACAAGCAUGUUUAAUAUAGAAGGAGAUACUACUUACUAUUCCUGCGCUGUCAUUGGAUAUGGCAAAGUACAAACUGCAUCUUGUGAUGGAUCCAUAACAACACAAAAUAUGUGUGAAAAAGCUGCAGAUGUUUCAGAAUGGCAGAAGGAGAGCUAAAAACAAGAGGUCCAGGCAGGAAUGUUAUCCCCAGCUUCCUGUAGGAAUGGCAGAUGGGAUUUACCUCAUUUAUCUUCAGCUGUCUAAAUAUCUAGUCAAAGGGACUCUUACAGGCUCCCUCUAGAGACCUUGCAAAGCUUAGCACGCUCUUUCCCAAGAUGGGUGUCUGAGACUGGAUGGAUCCCUCUCCAGAGGAGCUUGUAUUUUCACACAUUAGGAAGCUGGGUGACUUGCUCAUACCAGAUGCCAGACUUUCAGGCAGCCACUGUUAGAUGAUACGAGUCCAACCUCGGUGAUAGGUGCGAUCACAAACAGAUCAUAUAUCUCAUAGGCACGUGCAUACAUACCUGUACAUUCACAGCCCUGCUUGUGCACAACGAGACACUUCAAAGCCUUGCCAUGCACUGCUCUUCCCUGCAGCCACAAGCAAAGAUUAACACGUAUUUAUAUUGCAUAUCCUGUUAGAAAAGUGCAAUCACACUCAUUGUCAUUUGUCAUAGAUAUGAUCGACAGAACAAAGUCAAAUGUGUAUAAACCUUACUCUGUAAAAAGCUGUCUCUGUUAAAAAACCACACUGCAUACCAGACCCUGUGGGGCUAAAAUGUGAUUCACCAAAACAGAAAUGAUCCUGCACCACAGCUCUGUGCAUAGAAUCACCACUAGUCCUAUGUAGGUCAGGGAAAGUAUAUCAGAUUUAGACCUAGCCCUGAACAGGAGGAAGAGCAGUAGAGAGCACAAGCCUGAAAAACAGAGUCACAAUAAUAGCUUCAACUGGACAGAAAAUAGUCAAAUCAAAACCACAGUUAUCUGUGAAGAAUCUGGUGAGAAGUAUGAGUGACCUACAGAGAAUGACGACACAGAGGACUCUCUUGUUUUUCUUGGAUAAUGACCAAAGAAGAAAAUCAUGCAUUCAGGUUUUUGCUGCACAGAAAAGUUAGAGUCAACACCAGAAACAGGUGGUACCAGUAGAGCAGAGACGUGAUCAGCAAAUAGUGAAUAUUACCAAAGAUCUUCCAAUGUGCUUCAGCAGCUUUUGGGACACUGGGGCUUUUGUGACUAUGAGGAUUAUCAUUCUUACCAUGUCCUUUGAGGCAGAAUCAUUCCCACCUAAAAUGGUGCCAUUCAUGGAUCUCUCCUUCAUCUGCAGGACAGAGAAAGCCCUGUGAAUUCCUUGAUGAAGUGAUAGUGAUGUCAUGCUUUCUCAUUAGGAAAAAAAAAAAGGUUUUGCUUAAUCAAAGAAUAUCUACUCAGAAAGUUGUGGCCAAGGGUAGUGAAAAUGGAAUCAAACAGGGAAAAAACUCUCUUAUUCUGACUUCAAAGCACAUUUUGAUGUCCCUCAGACAAGCAAUACUUCUCACUGCCCUCAUCCAUCAGGACUCUUUAGAAACAUAUUUGUAUUUCCCCCACUGACCAAAGUAAGAAUAUGUAGUUGUAACAGAAUAAUAUCAAUGGCAGCAACCAGAACCUAAAUUAUUAUUUCAGGAGGAAGCUAUGCUAGAGAGGCUAUUUGUUUGUGCUCAAUUUACUGGGCUCUAUAUUGUGUUAUGGAGCAGUCUGGAGGAGGGCUGCCCUUGUAUUUUCCUAUUCCAGCUGCUUUCCUUUGAUCAGGUGGGCUCUGCUGAAGGUGAGAGGCAGAGAAAUCUCUCUUCCCUGGGAGCCACUGGUCCUAGGGGGAGUUUGAAGACUUCAGCAAGCAGCAGAUCCAAGCAACUAUGCAUCAGAGGUGACAGAAAAAGGGAAGCUGCCCUAGGGCCACUGUGGAACUACAUGAAGUCCAUCAAACCCAGAAAGCCACAGAAAGUCACAGGACUAAGGAGCAAACACUGCUUACAAGGAAAUCCCUAACAAAGGAGGAAGUUUGAUUUGAGGUCAUUUAACAGCAACUUCCAGCCUUGCACAACACUGAGAGAUGCUUUACCAUUAACUGAAAUAUGCCAGUCUUCUCUCCUGUCUCAUAAAUCAACA